rnacentral:rRNA from 1 species
UACGGAGGGAGCUAGCGUUAUUCGGAAUUACUGGGCGUAAAGCGCACGUAGGCGGCUUUGUAAGUUAGAGGUGAAAGCCUGGAGCUCAACUCCAGAACUGCCUUUAAGACUGCAUCGCUUGAAUCCAGGAGAGGUGAGUGGAAUUCCGAGUGUAGAGGUGAAAUUCGUAGAUAUUCGGAAGAACACCAGUGGCGAAGGCGGCUCACUGGACUGGUAUUGACGCUGAGGUGCGAAAGCUAGGGGAGCAAACGGG